CACGUUAUGGUGGGCACUCUAAGGAGACUGCCGGUGGACAAACCGGAGGAAGGUGGGGAGUGACGUCAAGUCAUCAUGGCCCUUACGGCCUGGGCUACACACGUGCUACAAUGGUCGGUACAAAGGGUUGCCAAGCCGCGAGGUGGAGCUAAUCCCAUAAAACCGAUCGUAGUCCGGAUCGCAGUCUGCAACUCGACUGCGUGAAGUCGGAAUCGCUAGUAAUCGUGAAUCAGAAUGUCACGGUGAAUACGUUCCCGGGCCUU
rnacentral:rRNA from 1 species